rnacentral:rRNA from 1 species
AUCAACUGCAUAAACCCAUUCCGAGUACCUUGCCUGUUGCUUCCAUGGGGCCUGACCUAGGUCACUCUUGUGAUGUGAAACCCAAGAGAGUCCCCAUGGGAGGUAAUCAUUAAAUUCAUGUAUCCAAUGUCUUCUGUCUGAACUGUUUAUAACAAAUGUUAAAACUUUCAACAACAGAUCUCUUGGUUCUCGCAUCGAUGAAGAACGCAGCGAAAUGCGAUAAGUAGUGUGAAUUGCAGAAUUCAGUGAAUCAUCGAAUCUUUGAACGCACAUUGCGCCUCCUGGUAUUCCGGGAGGCAUGCCUGUUCGAGCGUCAUUAAAUACCUCUCAAGCAAAUUUGCUUGGUCGUGGAAGAUGAGUAUGCUUGCAUUCUCCCUUCUGAAAUUCAAAGGCGGAUGAUCUCAUAUCCCCAGGUGUAGUAAGUUUAUCUUUUCGCUUGGUGUGUGUGAUUGUCCUGCCGUUGACCCCCAUUUUUUUUCAAGGUUGACCUCGGAUCAGGUAGGGAUACCCGCUGAACUUAAGCAUAUCAAUAAGCGGAGGAAAAGAAACCAACAGGGAUUGCCUUAGUAACUGCGAGUGAAGCGGCAAAAGCUCAAAUUUGAAAUCUGGCGUCUUUGGCGUCCGAAUUGUAAUUUGGAGAGGCAACUUCGGAGAUGGUGCUGUCCUAAGUCCCUUGGAACAGGAUGACAUAGAGGGUGAGAUCCCCGUGCCUGGAUGGCUGUCCAUCUUCAUGUGAAAUGCCUUCGAAGAGUCGAGUUGUUUGGGAAUGCAGCUCAAAAUGGCGUGGUA